ACGGAGGGUGCAAGCGUUGUUCGGAAUCACUGGGCGUAAAGGGCGCGUAGGCGGUUAUGCAAGUCAGAUGUGAAAUACUUCAGCUUAACUGAAGAACUGCAUUUGAUACUGCAAGACUAGAGUACAGGAGAGGGAAAUGGAAUUCCCGGUGUAGAGGUGAAAUGCGUGGAGAUCGGGAGGAAGAGCAGUGGCGAAGGCGAUUUCCGGGCCGAAAACUGCCGCUGAGGCGUGGAAGCGUGGGGAGCAAACAG
rnacentral:rRNA from 1 species